UACAGAGGGUGCUAGCGUUGUUCGGAAUCAUUGGGCGUAAAGGGUGCGUAGGCGGUCGCGCAAGUCGGAUGUGAAAUCUUAGGGCUCAACCCUGAAACUGCAUUCGAUACUGCGUGGCUCGAGUACUGGAGAGGAGACUGGAAUUUACGGUGUAGCAGUGAAAUGCGUAGAUAUCGUAAGGAAGACCAGUGGCGAAGGCGAGUCUCUGGACAGUUACUGACGCUGAGGCACGAAGGCCAGGGGAGCAAACGGG
rnacentral:rRNA from 1 species